UAACAGAGUAGUCGCGCCCGAGAGUCCAUAUCGACGGCGCGGUUCGCUACCUCGAUGUCGGCUUCGCUCAU
rnacentral:rRNA from 1 species